UACCAGUCUAGUUUCUUCUCUAGGACAUGAUAAUUGGCCAGAGUGCCUCCGGAGCAACAACGUAGCACUUCCAGCUCUCUUACACACAAAACACCACGAGAGAGGUCGAGCCAUGGAGAUCGCCAUGGGGGCCAUUGGCCCUCUCCUCCCGAAGCUCGGUGAGCUGCUCAUGGGCAAGCUCACCAUGGAGAAACAAGUAAGGAAAGGUAUCGAGUCUCUCGUAACAGAGCUGAAAUUGAUGCAUGCUGUCCUUAGCAAGGUGUCGAAAGUGCCCGCAGACCAGCUGGAAGAAGGGGUCAAGAUCUGGGCAGGAAAUGUCAAGGAGUUGUCCUACCAAAUGGAGGACAUCGUUGAUGCCUUCAUGGUGCGUGUGGGGGAUGGUGGCGAGUCCACCAACCCGAAGAACAGAGUCAAGAAGAUACUGAAGAAGGUCAAAAGAUUAUUCAAGAAUGGCAAGGAUCUCCAUCGAAUAUCCGAUGCCCUGGAAGAAGUGGUUCUUCAAGCUAAGCAGUUGGCCAAGCUACGUCAAAGGUACGAGCAAGAGAUGCGGGACACUAGUGCUAAUACUAGUGUUGACCCUCGCAUGAUGGCCUUGUACACAGAUGUGACAGAUCUCGUCGGCAUUGAAGAAACACGAGACAAGUUGAUCAACAUGUUGACUGAAGACGAUGAUUGGUCGAAGCAUCCAUUGAAGACGAUCUCUAUUGUUGGAUUUGGUGGGUUAGGCAAGACAACUCUUGCCAAAGCAGCAUAUGACAAGAUUAAAGUGCAAUUUGAUUGUGGUGCUUUUGUCUCGGUUUCACAAAACCCUGAAAUGAAAAAGGUUUUGAAGGAUAUUCUCUAUGGACUUGACAAGGUCAAGUACGAAAACAUACAUAAUGCAGCGAGGGACGAAAAGUAUCUCAUUGACGAUAUAAUUGAAUUCCUUAAUGACAAGAGGUACCUCAUCGUAAUCGAUGAUAUAUGGAAUGAAAAAGCAUGGGAGUUACUUAAGUGUGCCUUUUCCAAGAAGAGCCUCGGAAGCCGACUAAUCACGACAACCCGCAAUGUUAGUGUCUCUGAAGCAUGUUGCUCUUCUGAGGGUGAUAUUUAUAGAAUGGAAUCCCUUUCUGAUGAUGUAUCAAGAACACUCUUCUGUAAAAGAGUAUUUUCACAAGAAGAAGGCUGCCCUCAAGAAUUAUUGCAAGUAUCCAAUGAAAUUUUGAAGAAAUGUGGCGGUAUACCGUUAGCUAUUAUUACUAUAGCAAGUCUUCUAGCUAAUAAGGGUCAUAUAAAAGCAAAGGAUGAAUGGUAUGCUUUGCUCAGUUCCAUUGGUCAUGGACUCACAGAAGAUCGCAGUUUGGAGCAGAUGAAAAAGAUAUUAUUAUUCAGCUAUUAUGAUCUACCUUCAUAUCUGAAACCUUGUCUAUUAUAUCUUAGCAUCUUCCCAGAAGAUUAUGAGAUUCGGAGAGAUAGACUAAUAUGGAGAUGGAUAUCAGAAGGCUUUAUUUAUAGUGAAAAGCAAGAUAUUAGCUUAUAUGAGAUCGGUGACAGCUACUUCAAUGAGCUAGUAAAUAGAAGUAUGAUCCAGCCAAUGGGCAUUGAUGGUGAAGAAAAGGUAUUGGCUUGCCGUGUACAUGACAUGGUGCUUGACCUCGUAUGCUCAUUAUCAGUUGAAGAAAACUUUGUCACAAUACUAGAUGACACCAGAAGAAAAAUACCUAACUCAGAGAUCAAGGUUCGCAGAUUGUCCAUUCAAAAUACCAAGAUAGAUGUGGAUACCACUAGGAUGGAGCAUAUGAGAUCUCUUACUGUUUUCACAAGUGAUGUUGUUGGGAAAGUGUUGGAUAUUUCAAGCUUUCAAGUUCUGCGCGUGUUGGAUUUAGAAGGUUGUCGUGAUGUCUCAGAUGUCGGGUAUGUGGGGAAUCUGUUGCAUUUGAGGUACUUGGGGCUAAGAGGUACUCGUGUUAAGGACCUCCCCAUGGAAAUAGGGAAGCUGCAGUUUUGCUUACCUUGGACUUAAGAGGUUCUAAUAUAAAACUACUGCCAUCGAGUGUUGUUCAACUAAGACGUCUAAUGUGCCUGUAUGUUGAUUAUGAUAUGAAGCUGCCAUCUGGGAUUGGCAACCUGACUUCCCUAGAAGUGCUAGAUAACCUGGGGUUAUCUGACGCGGACCUUGAUUUUGUGAAAGAAUUGGGCCAUCUGACCAAGCUCAGGGUGCUUGGGAUUGACUGUAGUGAUUUUGAUGAGAGCCUGGGUAAAGCUUUGGAGGAAUCCAUUAGUAAUAUAUACAAACUGGAAAGUCUAGAUGUAUAUGUCAGUCAUGGACACAUCAAUUGCCUGAGAGAUGAUUGGGUGCCUCCUCCACAACUCCGUAGAUUGGCUUUCCCGUCAAUUGGAAGUUGGUUCAAGACAUUGCCGUCAUGGAUUAAUCCUUCAUCGCUUCCUCUCCUCUCCUAUCUGGAAAUAACGCUGUUUGAAGUGCGAUCGGAGGUCAUCCAACUUCUAGGGACUCUGCCUGCUCUUGUUUUUCUUGAGAUACGGGAUUAUUCCAUGGACAAUGAAGCGCAUGAGGUGGAAGCGCCCGUCCUUUCCUCUGGUGCUGCGUUAUUCCCAUGUGCGACGGAGUGCCGCUUCAUUGGUAUUGGUGCCGUGCCGUCUAUGUUUCCACAAGGAGCUGCGCCAAGGCUUAAACGCCUUGGGUUCGCCUUACCAGCCAAGUGGAUCUCCCGUGAAAACUUUGAUUUGGGCAUGCGGCACCUCCCUUCCCUCCAGCGAGUCAACGUUGAAUUUAUCAGGAAGGGAACUAGCCAUCAGGAGAUGGAAGAAGCCAAGGCAGCGCUGAGGGCCGCAGCGGAGGACCACCCCAACCGUCCCGUCCUUAAGAUAUGGUCCCGCCCUUAAAUUCUGGUGAAACAUGAAGAAAAGGUGGAGGAGGGCUUGAUUAAUCAGAUCCUUUACGCAGGUCGCACAGUAGGAGCUAGCAGUUGUCGUCUCGUCGACAUGGAUUCGAUCGUGGGUGCCUCCAACAACUCCUCCUGUACUCUACUGUUUGACCUGUCUCCCCUCUGCAUCCAGAUGAACCGCCUCAUUCUGUCAGCUUAUGUUUGGAUUCUCUUCACGCUUCCGCCAACUCAAGAACCAUUAUGUUGAGGGCGCCCAGUGUGUUUCGCCCUCGAUGAACCAUUAAUUAUGAUGUACUGCUUGGCUGCUUUGCUUGCUCUCAUUUCGCAUUGCACUGCUUUGUUUGGAGCAGCUCAAUGUUUUGUUUCAGACUCGUAAACUAUGAUGCCCGGUUCAGUUUGCCGUAUUGGUUUCAUGAUGAAAUAAACAUGCCUGUAUUAAGUACAUCUUUGUAUUGGAGUAGAACUGGAAUUUGAAUAUCUCUUGGAUACUACGGUGUGCCUUUACUGUCAUAUACAGUACUACUCUGUAAGAUUAUUGUCCCUGAACUUAUGCAAUGAUUUCUGGAUGAUAUAAAUAGUUCGGUAUCCCUUAA